AUUGAACGCUGGCGGCAUGCCUUACACAUGCAAGUCGAACGGCAGCACGGGAGCUUGCUCCUGGUGGCGAGUGGCGAACGGGUGAGUAAUACAUCGGAACGUACCCUGAAGUGGGGGAUAACGUAGCGAAAGUUACGCUAAUACCGCAUAUUCUGUGAGCAGGAAAGAGGGGGAUCGCAAGACCUCUUGCUUUAGGAGCGGCCGAUGUCGGAUUAGCUAGUUGGUGAGGUAAAGGCUCACCAAGGCGACGAUCCGUAGCGGGUCUGAGAGGAUGAUCCGCCACACUGGGACUGAGACACGGCCCAGACUCCUACGGGAGGCAGCAGUGGGGAAUUUUGGACAAUGGGCGCAAGCCUGAUCCAGCCAUGCCGCGUGAGUGAAGAAGGCCUUCGGGUUGUAAGCUCUUCGUGGGAGAAUGGCACGGGUUAAUACCCUGUGUUGAUGACGGUACCCGCAUAAGAAGCACCGGCUAACUACGUGCCAGCAGCCGCGGUAA
rnacentral:rRNA from 1 species